GGGCACCUGACAUCUCCAGCACAGUCUCUUGCAAAGCCCUACCUUAGUCCAUACCCUGGAAAAUCGCCGGUGUGUGACCAUGUAAAUCGCUUGGCAGUGCUUAGAUUUCUGGGCCCUCUAUCUGAGUUUCUGAAGCAGGAGGUCCACAGCGGGGCCCAUGAAGCUGCAUUUUUAAAAGUUUAUUUUUGACUGCAUUGGGUCUUCAUUGCUGCACGUGGGCUUUCUCUAGUUGUGGUGAGUGGGGGCUACUCUUCGUUGUGGUGCAUGGGCUUCUCAUUGCGGUGGCUUGUUGUGGAGCAUGGGUUCUAGGUGCAUGGGCUUCAAUAGCUGUGGCACAUAGGCUCAGUGGUUGUGGCUUGCAGGCUGUAAAGUGCAGGUUCAGUAGUUGUGGUGUACGGGCUUAGCUGCUCCACAGCAUGUGGGAUCUUCCUGGACCAGGGAUCGAACCCGUGUACCCUGCAUUGGCAGGCGGAUUCUUAACCACUGUGCCACCAGGGAAGUCCCGAACCUUCAUUUUUAACAAGCGUAACAGGAGAGCCUGGUGAUAAAAGUAUGUGUUUUGGUUUGUCUAAAAAUGUCUUCACUGUCGUACUUGAAUAUAUUGAGCAUAAAUUCUAAGUUAGUGGCUGUUUACUUCCAACACACUGAAAUACACUGAGUGCAUUCCACCAUCCCCUGGCUUCCAUUGUUGCAGCCAAGAGGUCGCUGUCAGUCUGCUAUUCUUGGAGGGAGCCUGUCUUCAGUGGAUGUUCUUAAGUUGUUUCCCAUUGUCUUUGGUUUUUCUGUAAUUUUACUACCAUGGAUAGGUGAGAAGUUUUAAAUUUAUUCUUGGGAUUCUUGAAUCUGGAUUGGUGUUUUUCAUCAGUUCUGGCAAAUUCUCAGCUGCUAUGCUUUCAAAGUGCUUUUCUCUGAUCCAAAUUCUCUCUCUAGCACCCACCCCCGCAUUUCUCUUUCUCUCCUCCUAGAAUAGAGAUCUAUACAUCUGAGAUCUCAUUGUUCUCUCCACAUCUUUUAACCUCUCCACUAUUUUCCGUCUUCUGAUUUUUGUAUGUUGUGUUUGUGCUUUUAAACAUUUGGUAACAUUUUAGCUUCCUGUUCUGUGCCGAUAUUUUCAAGCUUACCUUUGACUUCGUCAAACCUAAGAAGCUCAGUUGUUUUGUAACCCAUGUCUAUAUUAUAGUAACACUAGCUGCUUAUCAAACAAACCUUAAAAUUUCAUGGCUUAAACUAAUGCAGGUUUAUUCACUAACCACAGAGUAGUGCACUGUAGGUGUUUCUCCAUUGGGCAGCUUUCCUCCAGGUGGUGAAAUGGGGACCCAGGUCCCUUCAUUCUGGUGCCUUCUCAUCAUCAACCCAUGGUUCCUAAGAUUCCCCUAGAGUUUGGGCCCAGGCCAGGCAUCCGGGAAUGAGAGAAGAGCAUGGAGGUUCAGAUAGAGGUUUUUAUGGGUGAGGCCCAGAAGUUGCGCAGUUGUUAUCACCUACAUUCUUUGGCCCAGACUUCAGUCAUUUGGCCAUGCCUGACUACAAAAGACUCAGGAAUGCAGUAGGGCCAAGUGCAUGGGACCAACCAGCCGGGGUUUGCCACAGUGCGCCCAGUUCCAGGACACAAAGCCCACACGUGUCUGCUCGUGGCUUGUUUUCACAUGUUCUUGGUCAUCUUUAAAUGUGUGGUGAUCACUGGCUUCAAAAACUUAUAUGUGGGGAUUCUUGGAAGCCUAGGGUGAAGGUGCCCCCAUCAUUCCAAAUGCACUGCUUGGAGUUCUCUGCCCAACCAGCUUACACGUCCCUGGGUCUCAAAUCAGUGAAAGGGCAGAUCUGUAGCUCCGACUUCUCAGGAACUUCGUUGCAUUUUGAUUUUGCUUCUCUUGGCACCAAGUCAGUCUUAUCUACGGUUCCCUGAGCUUUGGAGCAGGAUGGAGGGGGCAGGUUUAAUUCUGAGUCAUUAGUACCCUGAGAGCAUAACUCUUCAGAUUUUCAGUUUAUUAUUUUUGCUUUUUGAAGUAUAGUUGAUAUACAAUAUUAGUUUCAGAUGUACAACAUGAUUGAAUAUUUUUAUAUGUUAUACUCUAUUUAAAGUUAUAAAAUAUUGGCUAUAUUCCCUGUGCUGUAUAAUAUAUCCUUGUAGGUUAUUUAUUUUAUAUAGUAGUUUUUACCUCUUAAUGCCCUACCCCUAUUUUGCUCCUCCAUCCUUCCCUCUCCCCACUGGUAACCACUAGUUUAUUCUCUAUGAGUGUUUUGUUAUAUCCAUUUGUUAUAUUUUUCAGAUUCCACAUAUAAGUGAUAACAUAUAUCUGUCUUUGUCUGACUUAUUUAACUAAGCUUAAAACCUUCCAGGUCUAUCCAUGUUGCUGCAAAUGGACAAAUAUUCUUUUUUAUGGCUGAGUAAUAUUCCAGUGUGUGUCUGUGUGUGUGUGUGUACUUACCCAUUCAUCUAUUGAUGGACACUUGGGUUGCUAUCACAUCUUAGUUAUUGUAAAUAGUGCUGCUAUGAACAUUGGGGUGCAUGUAUCUUUUCAAAUUAGUGUUUUCAUUUUUUCUAGAUAAUAUACUCAGGAGUGGACUUGCCAUAUCAUAGGGUAGUUUUAAAGAAACCUCCGUAAUGUUCUCCAUAGUGGCUGCACCAAUUUACGUCCCCACCAACAGUGCACAAGGUUUCCCUUUUUUCCACAUCCUUGCCAACGUUUAUCAUUUGUAGAUUUCUUGAUGGUAGCCAUUUUGACAGGUGUGAGGUGGUAUUUCAUUGUGGUUGUGAUUUACAUUUCUUUGAUGAUUAGCAAUGUUGAGCAUCUUUUCAUGUGCCUGUUGGCCAUCUAUAUAUCUUCUUUGGAAAAAAAUGUCUCUUCAGGACUUCCACCCAUUUUUUAAUUGGGUUAUUUGUUUUUUUGGAUGUUGAGUUGCAUGAGUUGCUUAUACAUUUUGGAUAUUAACCCCUUAUCGGUUAUAUCAUUUGCAAAUAUUUUCUCCCGUUCAGUAGGUUGUCUUUUUGCUUUGUCAGUGGUUUCCUUUGCUGUGCAAAAGCUUGUAAGUUUAUUAAGUCCCAUUUGGUUAUUUUUACUUUUGUUUCCUUUGCUUUAGGAGAUCCAAAAAAAAACCCCAAAAAACUAUGAAUUAUGUCAAAGAGUGUUCUGCCUAUGUUUUCUUCAAGGAGUUUUAUGGUUUGUGGUCUUAAAUUUAGGUUUUUAAUCCAUCUUCAGUUUAUGUAUAUGAUGUGAGAAAAUGUAAUAAUUUAAUUCUUUUACAUGUAGCUGUCCAGCUUUCCCAGCACUGCUUAUUGAAGAGACUGUCUUUUUCUUUCUUUCUUUUUUUAAACAUCUUUAUUGGGGUAUAAUUGCUUUACAAUGGUGUGUUAGUUUCUGCUUUAUAACAAAGUGAAUCAGUUAUACAUAUACAUAUGUUCCCAUAUCUCUUCCCUCUUGCGUCUCCCUCCCUCCCACCCUCCCUAUCCCACCCCUGUCUUUUUCCAUUGUACAUUCUUGCCUCCUUUGUUGUAGAUUAAUUGACUAUAAAUGCAUGGCUUCUCUAUUCUGUUGUAGAUUAAUCGACCAUUUCUGGACACUCUUCUGUUUCAUUGGUAUACAUGUCUGUUUUUGUGUCAGUACCAUACUGUUUUAAUUACUGUAGCUUUGUAGUAUAGUCUGAAGUCAGGGAGUGUGAUACCUCCAGCUUUGUUCUUUCUUCUCAAGAUUAUGUUGGCUAUUCAGGGUCUUCUGUGCUUUCAUAUUAAUUUUAGGAUUAUUUGGUCUAUUUCUGUUAGAAAUGUAAUGUGUAUUUUGAUAGGAAUUGCAUUAAAUCUGUAGACUGCUUUGGGUAAUAUGGACAUUUUAACAAUAAUAAUUCUAAUCC
ensembl:lncRNA